rnacentral:rRNA from 1 species
AGUGAACGCUGGCGGUAGGCCUAACACAUGCAAGUCGAACGGCAGCACAGUAAGAGCUUGCUCUUACGGGUGGCGAGUGGCGGACGGGUGAGGAAUACAUCGGAAUCUACUUUUUCGUGGGGGAUAACGUAAGGAAACUUACGCUAAUACCGCAUACGACCUACGGGUGAAAGCAGGGGAUCUUCGGACCUUGCGCGAUUGAAUGAGCCGAUGUCGGAUUAGCUAGUUGGCGGGGUAAAGGCCCACCAAGGCGACGAUCCGUAGCUGGUCUGAGAGGAUGAUCAGCCACACUGGAACUGAGACACGGUCCAGACUCCUACGGGAGGAAGCAGUGGGGAAUAUUGGACAAUGGGCGCAAGCCUGAUCCAGCCAUACCGCGUGGGUGAAGAAGGCCUUCGGGUUGUAAAGCCCUUUUGUUGGGAAAGAAAAGCAGCAGGUUAAUACCCCGCUGUUCUGACGGUACCCAAAGAAUAAGCACCGGCUAACUUCGUG